GCCCCCGUUGUCUAAUGGUUAUGACGUCAGACUUCUAAUCUGGAGGUUGCGGGUUCGAAUCCCGCCGGGGGUU
rnacentral:tRNA from 1 species